rnacentral:rRNA from 1 species
GCUCAGCCCUAAACAUAAAUAAUUUACAUAACAAAAUUAUUUGCCAGAGAACUACUAGCAAUAGCUUAAAACUCAAAGGACUUGGCGGUGCUUUAUAUCCCUCUAGAGGAGCCUGUUCUGUAAUCGAUAAACCCCGAUAAACCUCACCACUUCUAGCUAAAUCAGUCUAUAUACCGCCAUCUUCAGCAAACCCUUAAAAGGAGGAAAAGUAAGCACAAUAAUAUUACAUAAAAAAGUUAGGUCAAGGUGUAACCCAUGAGGUGGGAAGAAAUGGGCUACAUUUUCUAAUCAAGAACACACUCACGAAAGUUUUUAUGAAAACUAAAAACUAAAGGUGGAUUUAGUAGUAAAUUAAGAAUAGAGAGCUUAAUUGAAUAG